rnacentral:rRNA from 1 species
GGGUCAGUAGGUCGGUCGUGCCACCGGUACGUACUGGUCUCACUGAUUCCUCCUUCCUGAAGAACCGUAAUGCCAUUAAUUUGGUGUUGCGGGGAAACAGGACUGUUACUUUGAAAAAAUUAGAGUGUUUAAAGCAAGCUAACGCUUGAAUACAUUAGCACGGAAUAAUGAAAUAGGACGAUCGAUCCUAUUUUGUUGGUUUCUAGGAUUGACGUA